UACGAAGGGUGCAAACGUUUGUUCGGAAUUACUGGGCGUAAAGCGCGUGUAGGCGGGUCUUUUAAGUCAGGGGUGAAAUGCCAGGGCUCAACCUUGGAACUGCCUUUGAUACUGGAGACCUUGAGUCCGGGAGAGGUGAGUGGAAUUGCGAGUGUAGAGGUGAAAUUCGUAGAUAUUCGCAAGAACACCAGUGGCGAAGGCGGCUCACUGGCCCGGAACUGACGCUGAGACGCGAAAGCGUGGGGAGCAAACAGG
rnacentral:rRNA from 1 species